rnacentral:rRNA from 1 species
GUCUUAUUGAAAAAAAUUUUAAGUCUAAUCUGCUCAAUGAGAUGAAAAUUAAAUAGCUGCGGUAUUUUGACCGUACAAAGGUAGCAUAAUCAAUAGUUUUUUAAUUGGGAGCUGGAAUGAAUGAUUGAAUGAAAUAUAAACUUUUUUUAAUUUAUAUUUAAAAAUUUAUUUUUAGUAAAAAAUCUAAAAUAAAUUUAAAAGACGAGAAGACCCUUUAGAUUUUAAUAGUUUAAUUUAAAAUUUAAUUUAAAUUAAAUUUAAUUUUGAAUUAUUUUAUUUAAUUGGGGUGAUUAUUAAAUUUAAUAAACUUUAAUUUUAUCAAACGUUAAUUAAUGGCUAAAUGAUUAAGAAUUUUUAAUUUUAGAAAAAAAUACCUAAGGGAUAACAGCGUAAUUUUUUUGGAGAGAUCAUAUUGAUAAAAAAGUUUGC